CCUACGGGAGGCAGCAGUGAGGAAUAUUGGUCAAUGGGCGAGAGCCUGAACCAGCCAAGUCGCGUGAGGGAGUACUGCCCUAUGGGUUGUAAACCUCUUUUGUCGGGGAGCAAAAGCCGGACGUGUCCGGCUGUGAGAGUACCCGAAGAAAAAGCAUCGGCUAACUCCGUGCCAGCAGCCGCGGUAAUACGGAGGAUGCGAGCGUUAUCCGGAUUUAUUGGGUUUAAGGGGUGCGCAGGCGGAUUUUUAAGUCAGCGGUAAAAUCGUGGGGCUCAACCCCAUCCAGCCGUUGAAACUGGGGAUCUAGAGUGUGCGAGAGGUAUGCGGAAUGCGUGGUGUAGCGGUGAAAUGCAUAGAUAUCACGCAGAACCCCGGUUGCGAAGGCAGCAUACCGGUGCACAACUGACGCUCAGGCACGAAAGCGUGGGUAUCGAACAGGAUUAGAUACCCUAGUAGUC
rnacentral:rRNA from 1 species